CAGCUCUCCGAGUGGUAGGGACGAUUAUUGGGCUUAAAGCGUCCGUAGCCGGCUUAGCAAGUCUCCUGUUAAAUUCAGCGACCUAAUCGUUGAGCCGCGGGAGAUACUACUAGGCUAGGAGGCGGGAGAGGCCGACGGUAUUCUCGGGGUAGGGGUGAAAUCCUAUAAUCCCGGGAGGACCACCAGUGGCGAAGGCUGUCGGCUAGAACGCGCUCGACGGUGAGGGACGAAAGCUGGGGGAGCGAACCGGAUUAGAUACCCGAGUAGUCC
rnacentral:rRNA from 1 species